rnacentral:sRNA from 1 species
UUUAAAACCAAAGGCUUUUAACCUUUCUUCUUUAGCUAACAAGAACCUCAUUCUUUUCUUUAACAUUCCCAACACCUUUACUAGAUUUUUUUCUAACUUCUUUAGCUUACUUCCCCUAGAAUUCUUUCCCUUUCCUCAUCAACAAUGGAUUCCCUCUUUUCUUUUAAACACAUCCCAACCCAUGAUAUAAGCGCCCACCUAGUCCUAUCCAGUCUGAAGAACGCGAACUAGAACUACAUGAGACACUAUCUCUGUCGUUACGAACCUAACACUUUCUACCAAGCUCAAUCGAAAUAAGACCUCACAAACACUCACAAGUGAUAUAGGGCUUGAAAGAAAGUUCAGGUUUGGGUAUGGGUUAACUGCUCUAAUAAGGAGAGUCAGCUACUUGGAUCAACAAGAGUGGUUAAAAUGAGUAAGAAAAUCCAAGUAUUUUAGGGUAUCCAUGAGUUCAAAUUCGAUUCCAAGACAUGAUAAUUCUAAAUCAGAUUCAAGUUCAAAUUGAUAGGGAAUGAUAUCAGAUCCUAACAGUGUGGUCGAGUAGAGCAAUCUAGGCAUGGUGCAGUUCUUACUUCAAUUUCAAUGACAACGCAUCAAACAACUAACAACGAGGGCACCGAGCUUAUCUGGUGAACCAAAAUGCUUACAAGGCUAUCUCAUCAUUAUCCCCUAUGCAUAUGCAACAAUCCUAAACGAAACACUCUAGACUCGAUCCUAAAUGCAAUGCAACUACAUGAACACUCUAUUUUUGUGAAAUCAUUUUCUGGAAUUUUUCAAUUUUUUUGGUUUUUCUAUGCCUUAGAUGAAUGCAGACUCAAGAUUAUACAAUGCAACACACACUUCCUGAGCCCUCCCCCAAACUUAAAUCACACAGUCCACUGUGUGACCAAAUUUGGAAGAGAGUACUCAGGACAAAAACACAUCACAAAAACUAAAUAAAAACAAGAGAUGGUAUAUUACAAUGGUGGAGUGAGGUGCAUACCUCAGUGGAAAAAGGAGCGGAGUUGGUCGUCAAUAGCUGCCUGUGAUUGCUCCCAGGCCAUCGAAGAAUCUCCCUGUUGUGUCUCAGCUUCCCCCUGGGGGUACUCGACCUCUGCUCCUUCGUCGCGGCCAGCACCGCUCUGAUGAUACUCGACCUCUCUUCUUCUGCUGCGGCCAGCACCGCGGUCGCGUAAGCUACGGGACUGGAGAAGUCGUGUACUCCUGCUGCCAGACCUAGCGAGUGCAGCCUUCUUCUUUCUCCCGAGCUCCCGAGGCUCGAAUGAUGAAUGCCUUGCAGGGACUGGUGGUACUACUCGGUCACUAGGCUCAGGCCUGUGGUGACUUGGCUCAGGCCUGUGAUGACUUGGCCCCGGCGCGUCAUAUCUCCUCGAAGGCAUGUCCUGAGGACGCUCUCCCUGCGGAAUAGCUGUGGUAGAAGAGAAGCAACUUAUCUUGUCCGUCAGAAACGUGAUGGCCUUGAAGCACUUGAUAAGUAACCUAUCUUGUUUCUUGCACCACCUCUGCAACUUACUGUUGUUUCUGUGAGCUUCACUCAAGCUCUUGCUCUCCCGCGCUGGAGGUACGUGCUCACUGAAAUGAUACAUGCUCGUAUCAUACUCCUCCUCCCUAUCCUCAUCCGUCUCAGCAAAAUCAUCCUCUGUAGCUUCCGUCGUAGGGACAUUGUCAUCAGUCGGUGGAGUGCUCUCAAAGUAGAGGUAAUCACGCGCAGGUCUGAAGUCAAUGUUCUCACCCUGAAGUAUGGUUGUGGCCUCGAUGCAGGGAAGCAAAAUGUUGGCUGUUCGGGUCAGGGAGUGCUCGAAUUUGUAGCGAUAGAAAUCUCCAACCAUGUCGUACUCCAGAAACUCACAACGACGCAAGUGAUCUAAAUCCAUCAUCCUCGGAUCAAACCCUGGAGACGUAAGAGGUACACCACAUGCAAUCAGAAUCGGUGUCACAACGCCACCUACACAAAGGGCUCCUCGCACCUUCUUCUUUCCGUUGGUGUGCGCCCACUUCCUGUAUCCACACAGGUGGAUCAACAGAAGCAUAACCGGUGGUGUAUCAUUGAGGUCGCCCUUUAGGACCUUCUUCCCCUUUGUUCUCCGGAGAAUGCCCUUGAGUGCAGAAUCAAUCAUUUCCAUGUCUGUGUUAGACACGGUGCCCGUAGAUUCCCUGGGGUACAGAACAUUCGCUAUUGAGCGCUGAUAGUAACGGAUCACAGGGCUUCGAAUCUGGUUGCUCUUAGACCUUGCAGAGUUGAGCGCCAAAUCGUUCCCAAUGGUUAACCACAAAUCCUCCAACUCUUCCCUCUCGAACUUGGGUUUAGUUCCCUUUCCACUAGGAAAACCAAAUAAUCCUUCCAAGCUCUUGAUAGAUAGCUGGUAACGCUGCUCGUUAACUGAAAAAGUCAAGAACCCCAACCCUUCACUCUCCAGUUCAUCUGCAGUAAGUCCCUGAUACAACUCCACUUGCAGAGUGGAGAUAAACUCUAUUGUUUCCUUCUUGUAAGCGACGUACGGGUAAGACAUCAGCGUCUCAAGAUGGCACUUCUCGAAUAAGUGCUGUACGUCCUCCAGUAGCCCAAGCUGGGCUAGAGUCUCGUAACAGGGGUACCUCGUUCCCCAGAAGUCGUUCAGCUCGAAAAGUCUGAUGUACUCCUCCACUGUAACUUCAUCAGGCUUGUUCAACAGUUUUGUUUCUCUGUGCCAUGACUCAGGCUCAUACUCGACGUCAAUAUCUUCGUCGAUCAACUCAUAUCUGCUGGUCAUCGCUCUCUUUCCUCUAGCAAUCUCAGCUCUCCUUUCAUUGCGUCGAGCUACUGAGCGUUGGGUCUCGGCUCUGAAGCUCUCAUAAGCCUGUUGCUCUCUCUCUGGUCUAGUUGACCAAGAUUCAGCUUCAUCGACGUUGUAAUCCGCAUCCAUGGAGGAUUCGCCACUGUAGUUACUCAUAUUGAUUCCCUGAAAAAGAAUGUAACUCAAAACCAAAUAUCAAUAUGUUAGU